AUUGAACGCUGGCGGCAGGCCUAACACAUGCAAGUCGAGCGGCAGCGGGAAAGUAGCUUGCUACUUUUGCCGGCGAGCGGCGGACGGGUGAGUAAUGCCUGGGGAUCUGCCCAGUCGAGGGGGAUAACUACUGGAAACGGUAGCUAAUACCGCAUACGCCCUACGGGGGAGAGCAGGGGACCUUCGGGCCCUGCGGGAUUGGUUGAACCCAGGUGGGAUUAGCUAGUUGGUGAGGUAAUGGCUCACCAAGGCGACGAUCCCUAGCUGGUCUGGGAGGAUGAUCAGCCACACUGGAACUGAGACACGGUCCAGACUCCUACGGGAGGCAGCAGUGGGGAAUAUUGCACAAUGGGGGAAACCCUGAUGCAGCCAUGCCGCGUGUGUGAAGAAGGCCUUCGGGUUGUAAAGCACUUUCAGCGAGGAGGAAAGGUUGGUAGCUAAUAACUGCCAGCUGUGACGUUACUCGCAGAAGAAGCACCGGCUAACUCCGUGCCAGCCGCCGCCGUAA
rnacentral:rRNA from 1 species